CGAAGUAUUUGUAAACAACACGGCGAUUCCCUGGGGCCACCGCCGGAAAUGAAGGGUGUGAUCGAUCGCUGAGGCCCCUGCACUUCGGUUAGUCGAAAAACUCCGGGCUGUGCCUCCACAGAUUCUGAACUGAUCUGCCUCCUGAAUUGAUCAAAACCCAAACUAAUACAGAUUUCAAUGAAAUACUGAAGGCAUGUCUGCAGCGUCCAGCAUCAAAAUGUCAAGGUCUGCAGAGAUGAAGCCAGGCCCCGCACCACUCAGACCUCCUGACUGACAUCUGAUCCUCAAGAAUGACUUUGAGCUUGAUGAGAGUGGAAGGUUAAGCACUGUGUUCAGAGGCAUUGAGUGCAGAAGUCUGACAUGUCAUGGUUUCAAGGAAGGUGAAUGGCUUUACUGGCCAUGUGGAUCAAUGAUGUGACUCUGCAUUAGAGCUGCAAACUUCAGGGAAUUCACCAACAUGACCAGACUUCGAUGCAGGUUUAUCCAGAGAGUUGGAGAACUAGUUCCAUCUGCUGAAGGAAACAAUGAUCAUAUUUGUGCAUCUGCAGUAAACUUCUGUAACAGGGAAGAGAGAAGAAAGAUUUAUGUUGAUGGUAAAAUCAUUCAAAUUAUAUUGUGCAAGGGUUUGACGAGAAACACUGUUGAAAUAAACAUCGUUCUGAGCAUGUGUGGUUGUAACUU